CAACACUUCUGUGUUGACAUGAAUAUCAAUAAUGUGGUCAUUUUUAUAAAUUUACUGUUUACAAAACUUUGAAUUUUCGAAAAACUAAGAAUUUUCUUAUCUAAGGCAUAGAUUACCUUAGCCGUAUUUGGCACAACUUUUUGGAAUUUUGGAUCCUCAAUGCUCUUCAACUUUGUACUUGUUUGGCUCUAUAAAUAUUUUGAUUUGAGCGUCACUGAUGAGUCUUAUGUAGACGAAACGCGCGUCUGGCGUACUAAAUUAUAA
rnacentral:lncRNA from 1 species